rnacentral:rRNA from 1 species
GAUCAUGGCUCAGAACGAACGCUGGCGGCGUGCCUAACACAUGCAGGUCGUGCGAGAAAGUUCCUUCGGGAGCGAGUAAAGCGGCGCACGGGUGAGUAACACGUAGGUAACCUGCCCCCCAGUCUGGAACAACUAGAGGAAACUCUAGCUAAUGCCGGAUGAGACCACGAUCCCCUUCGGGGGGUUGCGGCCAAAGAUGGCCUCUACUUGUAAGCUAUCGCUGAGGGAUGGGCCUGCGGGCCAUUAGCUUGUUGGUGAGGUAACGGCUCACCAAGGCUGUGAUGGCUAGCUGGUCUGAGAGGAUGACCAGCCACACUGGGACUGAGACACGGCCCAGACUCCUACGGGAGGCAGCAGUGGGGAAUAUUGCGCAAUGGGCGAAAGCCUGACGCAGCGACGCCGCGUGGGUGAUGAAGGUCUUCGGAUUGUAAACCCCUUUCGGGAGGGAAGAUGGAGUGGGUAACCACUUGGACGGUACCUCCAGAAGCAGCCACGGCUAACUUCGUG